CCUGAAAAUAGCACGUAUUGUCUAUAUUAGUAAACAACACUUGUUAUUUCUCCGGUAAUUUUUUUUCAUGUAAAUAAAUGUUUAUGUUAAUUUAAAGGAGAAAACCAGUUAGUUUUAAAUCUUUGAGCGAGAUGUUGACAGAUAAACUUUAAUUUAAAAAGUUUAUC